rnacentral:rRNA from 1 species
UACGGGGGGGGGCAAGCGUUGUUCGGAAUUACUGGGCGUAAAGGGCUCGUAGGCGGCCAACUAAGUCGGAUGUGAAAUCCCCAGGCUUAACCUGGGAACUGCAUCCGAUACUGGAUGGCUUGAAUCCGGGAGAGGGAUGCAGAAUUCCAGGUGUAGCGGUGAAAUGCGUAGAUAUCUGGAGGAACACCGGUGGCGAAGGCGGCUAACUGGCCCAACAUUGACGCUGAGACCCGAAAGCAUGGGGAUCAAACAGG